ensembl:lncRNA
AUAUAUAUAUUUUUUUUUUGGUACCAGGGAUCAAACUCAGGACCUUGUGUUUGCGAGAAGGGUGGUGGAACCACUGAGCUAAAUCCCCAGCCCUAUUUUUGUGUUUUUGAGACAGGGCUUCACUAGGUAAUUCAAGCUGGGCUUGAAUUCACUAUGUAGCCCAACCUGGCCUCGAACUCAUGGCGAUCCUUAUGCUUCAGCCUCCCCAAUCCUGGGAUUACAGAUGUGCACCACAACACCCAUCUGGCUGUACUUAUAAUACAGCUCCAGGAUGCAGUGAGGACCAAGCGAUGCCACUGUGGGUGGCAGUGACCCUCCUAGGGACAGCGACAAGCCUCAAGAGCCAGAGGGGAAAUAGAUGAGACUGAACAGUUAGCAAGAGGGGAGGACACGGCAGCCCACAGCUGCUGCCAGCCCAGCGUUAGAAAGUGCAAAGACAAAGGCCUGCAGUGCCCUGCUAUCCUCGCUUCCGGGGGGCCCUGGUGUUCCCCAGCUUUGAAGCUCCUCCCAGAAGCAGUAGAUGCUGCUCCAUAGAGCUGUCUUUCUAAAAAUUCCCCUUUAUAUAUGCC